AUUGAACGCUGGCGGCAGGCCUAACACAUGCAAGUCGAGCGGGGUUUUCGGACCUAGCGGCGGACGGGUGAGUAAUGCGUAGGAAGCUGCCCGAUAGAGGGGGAUACCAGUUGGAAACGACUGUUAAUACCGCAUAAUGUCUACGGACCAAAGUGUGGGACCUUCGGGCCACAUGCUAUCGGAUGCGCCUACGUGGGAUUAGCUAGUUGGUGAGGUAAUGGCUCACCAAGCGACGAUCUCUAGCUGGUUUGAGCGGAUGAUCAGCCACACUGGCACAGAGACAAGGUCCAGACCCCUACGGGAGGCAGCAGUGAGGAAUAUUGGACGAUGGGCGCAAGCCUGAUCCAGCCAUGCCGCGUGUGUGAAGAAGGCCUUCGGGUUGUAAAGCACUUUCAGCGAGGAGGAAGGGGUGUGUGUUAAUAGUACACACCUUUGACGUUACGCGCAGAAGAAGCACCGGCUAACUCUGUGCCAGCCGCCGCCGUAACAC
rnacentral:rRNA from 1 species